rnacentral:rRNA from 1 species
UUUAUUGGAGAGUUUGAUCCUGGCUCAGGAUGAACGCUGGCGGCGUGCCUAAUACAUGCAAGUCGAGCGAAUGGAUUAAGAGCUUGCUCUUAUGAAGUUAGCGGCGGACGGGUGAGUAACACGUGGGUAACCUGCCCAUAAGACUGGGAUAACUCCGGGAAACCGGGGCUAAUACCGGAUAACAUUUUGAACUGCAUGGUUCGAAAUUGAAAGGCGGCUUCGGCUGUCACUUAUGGAUGGACCCGCGUCGCAUUAGCUAGUUGGUGAGGUAACGGCUCACCAAGGCAACGAUGCGUAGCCGACCUGUGAGGGUGAUCGGCCACACCGGCACUGAGGCACG